CCUACGGGAGGCAGCAGUGGGGAAUAUUGCGCAAUGGGCGAAAGCCUGACGCAGCGACGCCGCGUGAGGGAUGAAGGUCUUCGGAUCGUAAACCUCUGUCAGCAGGGAAGAACGGUCACUGUGCUAAUCAGCAGUGAAUUGACGGUACCUGCAAAGGAAGCACCGGCUAACUCCGUGCCAGCAGCCGCGGUAAUACGGAGGGUGCGAGCGUUAAUCGGAAUUACUGGGCGUAAAGCGCUCGUAGGCGUUAUGUCAAGUAAAGGGGGAAAUCCCCGCGCUAAACGUGGGAACUGCCUUUGAAACUGGCAAACUGGAGUGUGGGAGAGGAUAGGGAAAUUCCGGGGGUAGGAGUGAAAU
rnacentral:rRNA from 1 species